rnacentral:rRNA from 1 species
AGAGUUUGAUCCUGGCUCAGAUUGAACGCUGGCGGCAUGCUUUACACAUGCAAGUCGAACGGCAGCACGGGCUUCGGCCUGGUGGCGAGUGGCGAACGGGUGAGUAAUGCAUCGGAACGUGCCCAUGUCGUGGGGGAUAACGUAGCGAAAGCUACGCUAAUACCGCAUACGCCCUGAGGGGGAAAGCGGGGGAUUCUUCGGAACCUCGCGCGAUUGGAGCGGCCGAUGUCGGAUUAGCUAGUAGGUGAGGUAAAGGCUCACCUAGGCGACGAUCCGUAGCGGGUCUGAGAGGAUGAUCCGCCACACUGGGACUGAGACACGGCCCAGACUCCUACGGGAGGCAGCAGUGGGGAAUUUUGGACAAUGGGGGCAACCCUGAUCCAGCCAUGCCGCGUGAGUGAAGAAGGCCUUCGGGUUGUAAAGCUCUUUCGGCCGGGAAGAAAUCGGCGACUCUAACAUAGUCGCUGGAUGACGGUACCGGACUAAGAAGCACCGGCUAACUACGUGCCAGCAGCCGCGGUAAUACGUAGGGUGCGAGCGUUAAUCGGAAUUACUGGGCGUAAAGCGUGCGCAGGCGGUUUUGUAAGACAGAUGUGAAAUCCCCGGGCUUAACCUGGGAACUGCGUUUGUGACUGCAAGGCUAGAGUACGGCAGAGGGGGGUGGAAUUCCACGUGUAGCAGUGAAAUGCGUAGAGAUGUGGAGGAACACCGAUGGCGAAAGGCAGCCCCCUGGGCCUGUACUGACGCUCAUGCACGAAAGCGGUGGGGAGCAAACAGGAUUAGAUACCCUGGUAGUCCACGCCCUAAACGAUGUCGACUAGUCGUUCGGAGCAGCAUGCACUGAGUGACGCAGCUAACGCGUGA